GUAUGGUUUAUGGUACAGUGUCAGGCUGCGGUGUAGGUUACUGUGUCAGGGUAUGGUUUAUGGUACAGUGUCAGGCUACGGUGUUGGUUACUGUGUCAGGGUAGGGUUUAUGGUACAGUGUCAGGCUACGGUGUAGGUUACUGUGUC